rnacentral:rRNA from 1 species
UACGGAGGGUGCGAGCGUUGUUCGGAAUCACUGGGCGUAAAGGGCGCGUAGGCGGCUGUUCAAGUCGGGGGUGAAAGCCUGUGGCUCAACCACAGAAUUGCCUUCGAUACUGGACGGCUCGAGACCGGAAGAGGUCAGUGGAACUGCGAGUGUAGAGGUGAAAUUCGUAGAUAUUCGCAAGAACACCAGUGGCGAAGGCGGCUGACUGGUCCGGUACUGACGCUGAGGUGCGAAAGCGUGGGGAGCAAACAGG